AUGUUCCUUAAAAAAAUUAUGUACAAUUUCUUCUCAUGGAUGUUAAUUAUCAUGUCAAGCUUGAAGCUCACACUCUUGGAGAUUUUUUGUUUACGAGGAGAAAUCAGAGGUUUGAGGUUCCUUUUGUUACUGUAUAGUUCUCUCAUUUUGAUCAUUAACAUAAUUCAAUUAGUUUUUGUUCUCAUCGGUCUACGACAUCAGUCGGAUUCAGAAAUUACGCUGGGUAAAACCGAUGUGUUUUGUAGUCUUUUUUUUUACGUUCCUUUUUGUCGUAAAAUUACAUCAAUAGCAUCUGGUUUCUUACAGCGAUUACCCUGGUUUAGUUCCUCACACAUCCACAACGUAACUUGCCUUGCAUGCACAUCGUAA
rnacentral:rRNA from 1 species